GAGGAACGCUGGCGGCGUGCCUAAUACAUGCAAGUCGAGCGAACAGACGAGGAGCUUGCUCCUCUGACGUUAGCGGCGGACGGGUGAGUAACACGUGGAUAACCUACCUAUAAGACUGGGAUAACUUCGGGAAACCGGAACUAAUACCGGAUAAUAUAUUGAACCGCAUGGUUCAAUAGUGAAAGACGGUUUUGCUGUCACUUAUAGAUGGAUCCGCGCCGCAUUAGCUAGUUGGUAAGGUAACGGCUUACCAAGGCAACGAUGCGUAGCCGACCUGAGAGGGUGAUCGGCCACACUGGAACUGAGACACGGUCCAGACUCCUACGGGAGGCAGCAGUAGGGAAUCUUCCGCAAUGGGCGAAAGCCUGACGGAGCAACGCCGCGUGAGUGAUGAAGGUCUUCGGAUCGUAAAACUCUGUUAUUAGGGAAGAACAAAUGUGUAAGUAACUAUGCACGUCUUGACGGUACCUAAUCAGAAAGCCACGGCUAACUACGUG
rnacentral:rRNA from 1 species